rnacentral:rRNA from 1 species
AGUUUGAUCCUGGCUAAGGAUGAACGCUAGCUACAGGCUUAACACAUGCAAGUCGAGGGGCAGCGAUGAAGAAAGCUUGCUUUCUUCAGGCGGCGACCGGCGCACGGGUGAGUAACGCGUAUCGAACCUGCCUCAUACUCGGGAAUAGCCUUGCGAAAGUAAGAUUAAUGCCCGAUGUUAUUAGAGCAUCACAUGAUGUUUUAAUUAAAGAUUUAUCGGUAUGAGAUGGCGAUGCGUCCCAUUAGCUUGUUGGCGGGGUAACGGCCCACCAAGGCAUCGAUGGGUAGGGGUUCUGAGAGGAAGGUCCCCCACAUUGGAACUGAGACACGGUCCAAACUCCUACGGGAGGCAGCAGUGAGGAAUAUUGGUCAAUGGACGCAAGUCUGAACCAGCCAAGUAGCGUGCAGGAUGACGGCCCUCUGGGUUAUAAACUGCUUUUAGUUGGGAAUAAAGUGCACCACGUGUGGUGUUUUGUAUGUACCAUCAGAAAAAGGACCGGCUAAUUCCGUGCCAGCAGCCGCGGUAAUACGGAAGGUCCAGGCGUUAUCCGGAUUUAUUGGGUUUAAAGGGAGCGCAGGCGGACCUUUAAGUCAGCUGUGAAAUACGGCGGCUCAACCGUCGAACUGCAGUUGAUACUGGAGGUCUUGAGUGCACACAGGGAUACUGGAAUUCAUGGUGUAGCGGUGAAAUGCUCAGAUAUCAUGAAGAACUCCGAUCGCGAAGGCAGGUAUCCGGGGUGCAACUGACGCUGAGGCUCGAAAGUGCGGGUAUCAAACAGGAUUAGAUACCCUGGUAGUCCGCACAGUAAACGAUGAAUACUCGCGAUUUGCGAUACACAGUAAGUCGCCAAGCGAAAGCGUUAAGUAUUCCACCUGGGGAGUACGCCGGCAACGGUGAAACUCAAAGGAAUUGACGGAAG